UGUGGCUUACAAGUUAUCAAAGAGAAAGCCUGAUGACAAUUUGCAGGUUCUUCACUCAAACCUGUUUGGAAAGAAAACAAAGAUACACACAUUAAAGAAAAACAUUGGCAACUUUUCUGGCUAUGUGUGGAUUGAGAACGAGGAAAAGCAAAAGGGUAAGAUUAAGGAUAAACUUGACAAAUGUAUUAAGGAGAAGCUAUUGGAUUUCUGCGAUGUUCUUAACAUUCCAGUUAAUAAGACUUCCACUAAGAAGGAGGAACUUUCAAUAAAAUUGUUGGAAUUUUUGGAAGCUCCAGAAGAUACCACUGAUACCUUGCUUGCUGAAAAAGAGCAGAGAAGCAAAAAGCGAAAGGCAAGGGUGGAAAAGAGAUCUCGUGAGAGGCCUUCCAAGGUUUGUUCUCUACAAUUUUAAAAGUCAGAAUUCUGUAAAGAUUAUUUAGCAACUGACAUGGCC